UAAGAAUAUUGCGCAAUGGACGAAAGUCUGACGGAGCGACGCCGCGUGGAUGAAGAAGGCCGCAAGGUUGUAAAAUCCUUUUGCUGGGGAAGAAUAAGCGCAGGAGGGAAUGCCUGCGUGAUGACAUGAACCGGCGAAUAAGCCCCGGCCAACUACGUGCCAGCAGCCGCGGUAACACGUAGGGGGCAAGCGUUGUUCGGAAUUACUGGGCGUAAAGGGCAUGUAGGCGGUUUAGUAAGCUUGGCGUGAAAGACCACGGCUUAACUGUGGGGUUGCGUUGAGAACUGCUGAACUUGAGUUACGGAGAGGGAGCUAGAAUUCCUGGUGUAGUGGUGGAAUCUGUAGAGAUCAGGAAGAAUACAGAUGGCGAAGGCAAGCUUCUGGCCGAUAACUGUCGAUGAGGUGCGAAAGUGUCGGGAUCCAAUA
rnacentral:rRNA from 1 species